rnacentral:rRNA from 1 species
UACGGAGGGUGCAAGCGUUAAUCGGAAUUACUGGGCGUAAAGCGUGCGCAGGCGGUGAUGUAAGACAGGUGUGAAAUCCCCGGGCUUAACCUGGGAAUGGCGAUGGAGACUGCAAGGCUAGAGUUUGGCAGAGGGGGGUAGAAUUCCACGUGUAGCAGUGAAAUGCGUAGAGAUGUGGAGGAACACCGAUGGCGAAGGCAGCCCCCUGGGUCAAAACUGACGCUCAUGCACGAAAGCGUGGGGAGCAAACAGG